CGACAGAUGAACGGAUGACCUGCUUGCUGGGCUACCCAUUACUGAUUCUUGAGCUGAUUGAAAUCAACCAGUCUGAGUUAGUUCUCUUGGUUGGGGAGUUAUUUGGGUGGUAACGAAGCAGUGGACCAGGCAAUCAAUCGAGCACACCAUUGAGACAUGGAUCAACCUCCACUGAUUGACGGAGUUGUGCUGACUAAGAUUGACACCAUUGAUGAUAAACUGAUCGAAAAUAACCAGUCUGAGUUAGUUCUCUUGGUUGGGGAGUUAUUUGGGUGGUAACGAAGCAGUGGACCAGGCAAUCAAUCGAGCACACCAUUGAGACAUGGAUCAACCUCCACUGAUUGACGGAGUAGUGCUGACUAAGAUUGACACCAUUGAUGAUAAACAAAGUGAGGACCACUGACUGAUGAGGGAAUUGCUCUACUGAGAUGAGGAUGAGCCUG
rnacentral:lncRNA from 1 species